rnacentral:rRNA from 1 species
CACUAUCGUUAACUGAAUACAUAGGUUAACGAGGCGAACCGGGGGAACUGAAACAUCUAAGUACCCCGAGGAAAAGAAAUCAACCGAGAUUCCCCCAGUAGCGGCGAGCGAACGGGGAGCAGCCCAGAGUCUGAAUCAGCUUGUGUGUUAGUGGAACGGUCUGGAAAGUCCGACGGUACAGGGUGAUAGUCCCGUACACCAAAAUGCACAGGCUGUGAACUCGAAGAGUAGGGCGGGACACGUGGUAUCCUGUCUGAAUAUGGGGGGACCAUCCUCCAAGGCUAAAUACUCCUGACUGACCGAUAGUGAACCAGUACCGUGAGGGAAAGGCGAAAAGAACCCCGGCGAGGGGAGUGAAAAAGAACCUGAAACCGUGUACGUACAAGCAGUGGGAGCACCUUCGGGUGUGACUGCGUACCUUUUGUAUAAUGGGUCAGCGACUUAUAUUCUGUAGCAAGGUUAACCGUAUAGGGGAGCCGCAGGGAAACCGAGUCUUAACUGGGCGUUAAGUUGCAGGGUAUAGACCCGAAACCCGGUGAUCUAGCCAUGGGCAGGUUGAAGGUUGGGUAACACUAACUGGAGGACCGAACCGACUAAUGUUGAAAAAUUAGCGGAUGACUUGUGGCUGGGGGUGAAAGGCCAAUCAAACCGGGAGAUAGCUGGUUCUCCCCGAAAGCUAUUUAGGUAGCGCCUCGUGAACUCAUCUUCGGGGGUAGAGCACUGUUUCGGCUAGGGGGUCAUCCCGACUUACCAACCCGAUGCAAACUACGAAUACCGAAGAAUGUUAUCACGGGAGACACACGGCGGGUGCUAACGUCCGUCGUGAAGAGGGAAACAACCCAGACCGCCAGCUAAGGUCCCAAAGUCAUGGUUAAGUGGGAAACGAUGUGGGAAGGCACAGACAGCCAGGAUGUUGGCUUAGAAGCAGCCAUCAUUUAAAGAAAGCGUAAUAGCUCACUGGUCGAGUCGGCCUGCGCGGAAGAUGUAACGGGGCUAAACCAUGCACCGAAGCUGCGGCAGCGACACUAUGUGUUGUUGGGUAGGGGAGCGUUCUGUAAGCCUGCGAAGGUGUGCUGUGAGGCAUGCUGGAGGUAUCAGAAGUGCGAAUGCUGACAUAAGUAACGAUAAAGCGGGUGAAAAGCCCGCUCGCCGGAAGACCAAGGGUUCCUGUCCAACGUUAAUCGGGGCAGGGUGAGUCGACCCCUAAGGCGAGGCCGAAAGGCGUAGUCGAUGGGAAACAGGUUAAUAUUCCUGUACUUGGUGUUACUGCGAAGGGGGGACGGAGAAGGCUAUGUUAGCCGGGCGACGGUUGUCCCGGUUUAAGCAUGUAGGCUGGUUAUCCAGGCAAAUCCGGAUAAUCAAGGCUGAGGUGUGAUGACGAGGCACUACGGUGCUGAAGUAACAAAUGCCCUGCUUCCAGGAAAAGCCUCUAAGCAUCAGGUAACAUCAAAUCGUACCCCAAACCGACACAGGUGGUCAGGUAGAGAAUACCAAGGCGCUUGAGAGAACUCGGGUGAAGGAACUAGGCAAAAUGGUGCCGUAACUUCGGGAGAAGGCACGCUGGUGUGUAGGUGAAGUCCCUGCGGAUGGAGCUGAGACCAGUCGAAGAUACCAGCUGGCUGCAACUGUUUAUUAAAAACACAGCACUGUGCAAACACGAAAGUGGACGUAUACGGUGUGACGCCUGCCCGGUGCCGGAAGGUUAAUUGAUGGGGUUAUCCGUAAGGAGAAGCUCUUGAUCGAAGCCCCGGUAAACGGCGGCCGUAACUAUAACGGUCCUAAGGUAGCGAAAUUCCUUGUCGGGUAAGUUCCGACCUGCACGAAUGGCGUAAUGAUGGCCAGGCUGUCUCCACCCGAGACUCAGUGAAAUUGAACUCGCUGUGAAGAUGCAGUGUACCCGCGGCAAGACGGAAAGACCCCGUGAACCUUUACUAUAGCUUGACACUGAACAUUGAGCCUUGAUGUGUAGGAUAGGUGGGAGGCUUUGAAGCGUGGACGCCAGUCUGCGUGGAGCCAACCUUGAAAUACCACCCUUUAAUGUUUGAUGUUCUAACGUUGGCCCCUGACCGGGGUUGCGGACAGUGUCUGGUGGGUAGUUUGACUGGGGCGGUCUCCUCCCAAAGCGUAACGGAGGAGCACGAAGGUUAGCUAAUCCUGGUCGGACAUCAGGAGGUUAGUGCAAUGGCAUAAGCUAGCUUGACUGCGAGCGUGACGGCGCGAGCAGGUGCGAAAGCAGGUCAUAGUGAUCCGGUGGUUCUGAAUGGAAGGGCCAUCGCUCAACGGAUAAAAGGUACUCCGGGGAUAACAGGCUGAUACCGCCCAAGAGUUCAUAUCGACGGCGGUGUUUGGCACCUCGAUGUCGGCUCAUCACAUCCUGGGGCUGAAGUAGGUCCCAAGGGUAUGGCUGUUCGCCAUUUAAAGUGGUACGCGAGCUGGGUUUAGAACGUCGUGAGACAGUUCGGUCCCUAUCUGCCGUGGGCGCUGGAGAAUUGAGGGGGGCUGCUCCUAGUACGAGAGGACCGGAGUGGACGCAUCACUGGUGUUCGGGUUGUCAUGCCAAUGGCACUGCCCGGUAGCUAAAUGCGGAAGAGAUAAGUGCUGAAAGCAUCUAAGCACGAAACUUGCCCCGAGAUGAGUUCUCCCUGAGACUUUAAGUCUCCUGAAGGAACGUUAAAGACGAUGACGUUGAUAGGCCGGGUGUGUAAGCGCAGCGAUGCGUUGAGCUAACCGGUACUAAUGAACCGUGAGGCUUAACCUU